UAGUCUACGCCGUAAACGAUGGAUACUAGUUGUUUGGUUUUCGGACUGAGUGACUAAGCGAAAGUGAUAAGUAUCCCACCUGGGGAGUACGUUCGCAAGAAUGAAACUCAAAGGAAUUGACGGGGGCCCGCACAAGCGGUGGAGCAUGUGGUUUAAUUCGAUGAUACGCGAGGAACCUUACCAGGGCUUAAAUGUAGUAUGACAGGCUGAGAGAUCGGUUUUUCUUCGGACAUAUUACAAGGUGCUGCAUGGUUGUCGUCAGCUCGUGCCGUUGAGGUGUCAGGUUAAGUCCUAUAACGAGCGCAACCCCUGUUGUUAGUUACCAGCACGUAGUGGUGGGGACUCUAGCAAGACUGCCGGUGCAAACCGUGAGGAAGGUGGGGAUGACGUCAAAUCAUCACGGCCCUUACGUCCUGGGCCACACACGUGCUACAAUGGCCGGUACAGAGAGCAGCCACUGGGUGACCAGGCGCGAAUCUAUAAAACCGGUCACAGUUCGGAUCGGAGUCUGCAACUCGA
rnacentral:rRNA from 1 species